rnacentral:lncRNA from 1 species
AGGCCAUUCUGGGUCCCAGACCCACAGCUUUGGACAUUAUGGGAAUCAGAAUUCUUAGAUGGCUUCACAAUCUCUGUCCCUGGGUGUGUUACUCCCUUGAUGAUAUUAUAUUAUAUGGCAGAAGGGAUCUGCAGUGUAAUUAACAUUACCAAUCAGUUGAUCUCCAAGUAGGUCAGUUAUCUGAGUGGGCUGGAUCUAAUCCCACGAGCUUAUUAAAAGCAGAGAGUUUCUCCAAUAGCAGAAGGGAAGUCAGAGAGAUUCUAAGCACAAGAAGAAUGGGAUGCACGUUCACUGGCUUUAAAGAUGCAGGAAGCAUUACAUGGAAAGGACUUGUGAACAGCCCCAAGGAGCUCAGAGAGACGCCCAGCCAACGGCCAGCAAGAAAACAGGAACCUCAGUCCUGCAACCACAAGGAAGUGGGUUCUGUCAACAACCUAAGUGAACCUGGAAGUCGAUUCCUCCCUAGAGCCUCUGGAUGAGAGCCCAGGCUGACCAACACCUUGAUUUUGGCUUCCUGACAUCCUAAGCAGAGAUCCAGUGAAGCCUGCCCCAGAUGGCUAACCUACAGAACCCUGGAUAUAGGUACCAACGAGACCCUGGGGAAGGGGAGAGCCCUGAGAUGGAAGGAGCCUGGGUCCCUGAAUCACCACGUGGAGGAAAGCCACUGACCAAUCAGGAACGCUCGUCUUGGUCUGUUAUGUGACUAAGAAAUAAAUUCCUAAGAGAGACUGAAGAACUGGGGGGAGGAGAGCAUCCCUAGCUACAGUUAUUGAAAACUCUGCUUGGUAAUGUGGCAUUGAGAGACUCUGAGAAGCUGGCUUCAGGAAGGUGGCCCCACACUGCCUGCCCACCACCUGGGAUGCCACCUGCCGCAACGGUGUUGGUCUCUGGUCAGGGCUGGGGUAAAGAUCAGCAGUGGCUCAUCUUCCCUCUGACACAGCAGCAUGGGACACCUGGAUGGAACUGAAAUGGGGUCCCAGAUACAGCAAACCUCUCUCCCUGUCCACUUCUGAAGUCCAGCUCGGGAUUGCCGGCCCCAGCAGAGCAGGCAGGGGAGCUUUGACUGUGGAUGGUGUUUGAGCCUAGACUAGGCCCCAGGGUCUUCAAUGAAGCUCACAGAUGGAAAAGCCCAGCAACCAGGGGUCAGAGGCCCUGGAAGUUAGAAAAUUACAAGUCCCCAUCCUUCAAGGAGCUCCAGGAUGACUCUGCCUCAGCAAUUUCCAGUGCAAAUUUACUUUUUGUUUGAGUCAGGAAAUAACAGGCUGCAGACUCCCUAGGGGCCCAGGAAUCCAGCCACCAGCUUCUCCUGGCUUCUCUCAUCCUUCCGUGAGCAAGACUCAGCCAGACGUACAGGGUGGCCCCGAGCUUAAAUUACAACCACCUGACCAGAGCUGCCCCGCAGAUGCCCAGACCCUGCUUAGAGAGGGUCCCUGUGGAGAGAGGGGCUUCCCCAGGCCUCUGGCUGGUCGCAUGCGUGGCCUGAAUUCUCCAUGCACAGGCAAGAGGCUGUCUCUACUUCCCACCCUAGGCAACUCUUAGCACUAACCCUGAAGUGACGAUGAGCCACGGAGCCAGGGUGGAAGCUACACAGUGCGUCUCACGUGACUUCCAGUGAGAGCUGUUCCCAAGUUUACCAUCCCUCGGCGGUGGCUCACCACCCUCUCUGCCCAAAGUCCUCUCAAUAGCCUAAGUCUCUUCCCUCCACUCAGCCUCAUUGCUCUCAUUUUGUCACUUAGAGCUUAGUGACAUUUUGCUUUCUUCCAAAUCCUCCUUCUUGCAGUCUAGCUGGGUCCUUUCAUGCCUAGUUUACAAAGAUGUCUGGCCUGAUCCCUAUCUGCCAGCCCCUAUCCCUCCCAGGGGGACCAGGAAGCCUGGGUUUGACAGGUGCAAUGCACAGGUGCCGGGCGCCCACUGGGAGUGCAGGAGGCCAAGGUCUUCCCAGGACUGGCAGCUCAGAUGGCCCAGGCAGAAAUAACCUGAGCCUGCUGCCCUUUCCUUCUUGGGAGUGACUCAGCGAGAAGCCGGAAGAUAGAAACACAAAUCUGGUCCUGGAUCUUGCAGAGCCAGUCACAGGCAAGGCCACAGCCUUAAGGCUGUGUACGGAGAGGACCUGGAGCCAGCCAUAGGGCUGGACGCUGAAAAGACGCUCAACCUCAUUUAGCAGGAGACAAGUGCAAAUGAAAACUAUACCCAGACCCCAUUUUCCACAGAGCAGAUUGGCAGAGAUGCAAGCUUUCAGGACACACUCACUUGGCAAGAAGGGGAGGCCAUUCUCCCGCUUUGCUAGCAGGCUGUAAAAUGAUACAAUCUCCUCGGAAGGCAAGUUGGCAAUAUCUAUCCACUAAGUGCACAAAUUCUUUGACCCAGCGAUUCUACCUGUACAAACGGAACACCUAGCUAUGCGUGCACAUUUAUGACAUGACCCAGGCAGCAUUGUUUGUAAUAAUGACAAAGGAUUGGAGGCUCCUACAUAGGUGACUGGUUCCACACUUGCGGUGUCCCCAUGCGAUGGAUCACAGUAGGCAGAACAGAUAAUUGGAACCAUUGAUGGACGAGUAUGGAACCGUGUCCUAGAUACAUUGGAAAGAGGAAAAACAAAACAAAAGAAAUUGAGGAGCAGAACGGGCUGUGGGGCUGGCUGGUUUCAAUUCUCGAUGAAUGGAUGAAAUGGCACACUCCCAUUUGGGUAAAGGAGGGUAACAGAGAAGCAAUGUCUAUGCUGGUCUAAUGUGUGUGCUAAGGAAUAUCUCCGGAUGGAUACCCCAGAUUGGUUUCAUUAGCUAUACAGAGGCAAGCAUAUACCUUUUUGUAACUUGAGCAUUUUAAAAUAUGUUAGCUGGGCCGGGUGGCACGUGCCUGUAGUCCCAGCUACUUGGAAGGCUGAGGCAGAAGAAUCACUCGAAGCCUGGAAUUCAAGGCUACAGUGAGCCAUGAUGGGGUCUAUGAAUAGCCACUGCAUUCCAGCCUAGGCAACACAGUGAGACCCUCAUCUCUAAAAACAAUAAAAAUUCAAAAAAUUUUUUUGAACUAGGCAAACAUGUUACUUAUUUUAAAAAAAUAAACAGUUUAAAAGGUGAGGCCAGGCAUGGUGGCACACGCUUGUAAUCCCAGCACUUUGGGAGGCCGAGGCAAGCAGAUCAUGAGGUCAAGAGAUCGAGACCAUCCUGGCCAACAUGGUGAAACCCCGUAUCUACUAAAAAUACAAAAAUUAGCUGGGCAUGGUGGCACUUGUCUGUAGUCCCAGCUACUUGGGAGGCUGAGGCAGGAGAAUCGCUUGAACCCGGGAGGCGGAGGUUGCAGUGAGCCGAGAUCGCGCCACCGCACUCCAGCCUGGCAACAGGGUGAGGCUCUGUCUCAAAAAAAAAAAAAAAAAAUGGUGAACCCCUGGCUCGGUAAUGGAAUAAAAUGACACCAGUACUUGAGAGGCAAGCAAGUUCCAGGAUAGAACGAGGUGGUGGAGGGAAGCGAUCAUUCCAUUUUACAUUCAUAUUUUGCAAACAGUUUCUCCUUUUCUGUUGCUGCUUUCAAUCCA